GCGCCUUGCCAGCCCGCCUCAGAAACUUAAAGGAAUUGACGGGGGCCCGCACAAAGCGGAGGAGCAUGUGGUUUAAUUCGAUGAUACGCGAGGAACCUUACCUGGGCUCGAACGUAAGAUGACUGUAGGUGAAAGCUUACAUCUCUUCGGAGCAUUUUACGAGGUGCUGCAUGGUUGUCGUCAGCUCGUGCCGUGAGGUGUCGGGUUAAGUCCCAUAACGAGCGCAACCCCUACUGCUAGUUGCCAGCGGGUCAUGCCGGGGACUCUAGCGGAACUGCCAGCGUAAGCUGCGAGGAAGGUGGGGAUGACGUCAAAUCAGCACGGCCCUUACGUCCAGGGCUACACACGUGUUACAAUGGCCAGUACAGAGGGCAGCCACCCCGCGAGGGGGCGCUAAUCCUAAAAGCUGGUCCCAGUUCGGAUCGGAGUCUGCAACCCGACUCCGUGAAGCUGGAUUCGCUAGUAAUCGCGCAUCAGCCACGGCGCGGUGAAUACGUUCCCGGGCCUU
rnacentral:rRNA from 1 species